rnacentral:ncRNA from 2 species
UAGAUAUCAGUCCUUCAAGGUGCUCCAAAAGAGCUUUAUAGGGAACCCCGUGCAAUUCGGGGACGGGCCCACCGCUGUAACCGGGGACGCGUUUCGCAAUCACGCCACUGUUUUUCAAAUGGGAAGGCGCGAGACAAGGAUGAACCGGAAGUCAGAAGACCUGCCUUGAAAAAUUAUGCCGC